UACGUAGGGUGCGAGCGUUGUCCGGAAUUACUGGGCGUAAAGAGCUCGUAGGUGGUUUGUCGCGUUGUUCGUGAAAACCGGGGGCUUAACCUCUGGCGUGCGGGCGAUACGGGCAGACUGGAGUACUGCAGGGGAGACUGGAAUUCCUGGUGUAGCGGUGGAAUGCGCAGAUAUCAGGAGGAACACCGGUGGCGAAGGCGGGUCUCUGGGCAGUAACUGACGCUGAGGCGCGAAAGCCAGGGGAGCAAACGGG
rnacentral:rRNA from 1 species